AGGGUUCGAUUAUGGCUCAGGACGAACGCUGGCGGUGCGCCUUAUGCAUGCAAGUCGAGCGAAGCUUUUCAGUAGUUUACUACAGAAAAUGACUGAGCGGCGAACGGGUGAGUAACGCGUGAGCAACCUACCUUAGUUACUGGGAUAGCCCGAGGAAACUCGGAUUAAUACCGGAUAUUCUUAUUUAAUCACAUGAUUUUUUAAGGAAAGGUCAGCCGAACUAAGAUGGGCUCGCGUUCUAUCAGCUAGUUGGUAGGGUAACGGCCUACCAAGGCUACGACGGAUAGCUGGUCUGAGAGGACGAUCAGCCACACUGGGACUGAGACACGGCCCAGACUCCUACGGGAGGCUGCAGCAGGGAAUAUUGUGCAAUGAACGAAAGUUUGACACAGCGACACCGCGUGUGGGAUGACGGAUCUAGGUUUGUAAACCACUUUCAGGAGGGAAGAAAAUGACGGUACCUCCACAAGAAGCCCCGGCCAACUACGUGCCAGCCGCCGCGGUAAUUC
rnacentral:rRNA from 1 species